GAUGACGUUGAUGAGUUUAUCGAAUCGAGCAUACCUUUUGUAAUUAUGUAGACUUUACUAGUUACCUAACUGGUUAAAUAUAUGAAAACAUACCUACUCAUAAAUAGGUAUCGCUCAGUAAACAAUCGGUCGAAAAUACCACAAAUCGACCUGAGUGAAUCUCAUCUCGCCUUAUAGGUACAAGCUAGGGUUAAAACUUUGCAUGGGUAUUUAUUCAGUAUUCAUGUUACCGUAAUAACCCGUUUUUAGUAAAAACGCGUUUUCACUAGUUAAAACUCUAGUUAUCUGUCAGGGAUCGGUGAAAACUAAUUUUAACUGGGGUUAUUCAGACAAAACUAGUUUUCGCAAAGUGGCUUAGUAAAUACUAGUUUGGUUUUCACUGAAGGGUUUACGGAAAACUAGUUUUAACUAGGGAAAACGUGUUUUCACUAAAAACGGAUUUUUACUGUGACAUAUAGGUAGCUAAUUUAUAUACGUGUAUAAAUGUAUGUGAGUGUUGAGACGAUCGUACCGUUAUCGUUGCUGUGUUUUAUAAUGCCUUACCAGUGUUCUUAAAACAUACCAGAGACGAUAGAUAAUAAACACUGCCAAUCUAGUCAAAGUUGCGUUCCUCUUCAAUGUAGAUGGUGCCACUUUAAUUUUUUAACCCUUGUCCAGGCCUAGUAUAAUUUAUCGGCCACACAUAGAAUUUCUGCUUUAGCAUUCCGAUUUAAGGUUCAAAUUAGAUUGCACUUUCGGGAAAUGUGACUUGUCUUCAAAUGAAUCAAAGCUGGAUUAAUUGGGAUAUAUUUUUUGAUUUUUUGGGAAACCUAGUAGAUUGGUGCGGUCUGGAAAAGGGUUAUAAAAUUCAUAAACAAUGAUCAUCAAAAUAUAACACUUAAAAAUUGUAGACUUCAUUAGUAAAACAAAACCUCAAAGAGUAAUUUUUUCGAAAAGAUAUAUUAUUAUUUAUUUAUAAUGCUACUUGCGAGUUACGUGGUGGGGGAAAUACAAAUAACAACAACACCUGAGAUAAAAAAAAUUAAACUUUUAUGAGAUGACGUCAUCAUACUGCAUGUUUGUCAGCUGCAAAAUGUCAGAUAGCUUAAGUUUCCCUUACCCUGAGGGCGGCGCCACAGUCGUGCACAGCGCGAAUCCUUAAACUCUUGUUACAUGUCGUCAUAACGGAACGCAAAAUGCUACACAAAUUACGACUACUACUGAGACAUUUCUAAAUAAACUUUAUUUAGAAGGGGAAACAAAAAUUUUAUAUUGAUUAGCAGACUUUAUUAUUUAAUCCCUCUCUUUGCUUAGAACUUAAUUUUAGAAUCUCUCGUGAUGAUCUUACUUUUUAAAUUAUAAGAUUCACUUAAACUACGAGUACACGUGUGAUUUAUUGUGAUGGAAAUUAUGAUUAUUAUAUUUUACAAUUACAUUAAGAAAUAUUUUUGAUGUCCAAAUACAUAAUAUAAUUAUGUCCUACGAAUAUACUAUGGCCUGAGCACAAACUUCAAUAUACACCAAACAUUGAGAGAGGGUGGUGUAUUUGCUAAAAGUGGACGCAUCCCAUCUUCACAAGAAUUAACUUAAUGUAACUUUUAACUAUAUUGGAGUUUGUGCUCGGUUUUUACUACUUAGUUAUAGUUUGUUAUUUAUUUUAUGACCUCGGAAGGGACCGAGCAAAAAAAUGGCGCAUAGGUUUUUCUACAGUAUUAAAAAUAUCAUUAGGGUUUGUAACCAAAUUUUUAGUCUGACCUUUCUAGCAGAACUUUUUGUAAUGUAUAUACAUGUGAUAUUCUACUUUAGGCGUUUACCUAAAAUAUGCCUGUUACAGUACUUCACCAUGUACUUACUUAAAAUGUAGAUAAUAGUUUUAGAUAUAAAUUAUAAUAAAUGUGAAUUAAUUUAUAUUUAAAAUUAGUACUUACGAUUACCAACUUUUUUGAUGUAAACAACCUGAUUUCAUGACCAAAUUUAAAUUUAUUUCAUAGUAAUAAUGCAGAAACUUAUUAGUCUAUGAAAUAGACAUAUGUCGCCGUGUGUUUUCUUAACUAUUUAAGUUACGAGGCCACUUGUCUUAUUUGAAAUCUAAUAUCCAGUUUCUAUUUCUUUAUACGAAAUAAAUAAUUCAUAAUGUGAUUUCCUUAAGUACAAUGUGAUCUGUGAAAAUGAAUUAAGAAAUUUGUUCUAGAUACUGCCAUGUUUUAGCCAUAAUUAAUCAAUGUUCCUUAAUUUUUAUAAUUGGUUACUUUAAUAUUUAUUUAUUUUACCAUAUUUAUACCUACACCUAGGUAUAAAUCAUUGUAUUUGGCGGAACAGUAUCGCUAGUUAGUAUCAAUUUACAUUUGUUAAUUAGAUAAAUUUGUCAUACUAUGAUGAAACCAUUGAUCAUACGACCAGAUAAAAAGACAUAAGUUUUUUUAGCACACCACUUCGCUUUUCCAGUUAAAAUAAAUAAUAAUAAUUCAGCCUAUAUACGUCCCACUGCUGGGCACAGGCCUCCUCUCAUGCGCGAGAGGGCUCGGGCCAUAGUCCCAAUGCGGAUUGGGGACCAGUUAAAAUAUGUGUUAUAUAAGUUAUAUUCAACCAAAAAGGUAUUUUUUUAGCACACCACUUCGCUUUUCCAGUUAAAAUAUGUGUUAUAUAAGUUAUAUUCAACCAAAAAGGUAUUUUUUUAGCACACCACUUCGCUUUUCCAGUUAAAAUAUGUGUUAUAUAAGUUAUAUUCAACCAAAAAGGUAUUAUCAGCUAUUAAUUAUUUAUUAUGUCGGUUAUAACUUUUCUACAACAGACAACCUACCUUUAGCCUAAAAAUUGCACAUAUUUGCACUUUUUUUUAAUAUAGUAUAGUAGACGUAAGUCUAUAAGUUCUAUAACGAUAGGCAAUACAGUGUGUUAAAGACUACAUUACAGUAUUCAUUAUUUAAUCGAUCUUUUGACGUGGCUUUAACGUGUUCUACUAGUACUAACAACGACCAACAUUCCGACGGACCGACGGGAGUGCAGCUAUAUGUUAGACAGAGAUAGUAAAAAGCAUCCUUAACAUAUAAGUUUGCACACGUCGGAUCGUCGAAACGUCCCGCCGUCUGUUAGUCUAUAACCUAGUAUUCUCAGUGGUAGUUUUAUGUACCCCGUCGUGAAUGUAUUUUGUAUAUCUUUGUGUGUAGUGAUAGAUGUAAAAUAAAAUACAUAUUUAUAUUUUAACAA